rnacentral:rRNA from 1 species
UACGGAGGGGGCUAGCGUUGUUCGGAAUUACUGGGCGUAAAGCGCGCGUAGGCGGCUUUGUAAGUUAGAGGUGAAAGCCCGGAGCUCAACUUCGGAAUUGCCUUUAAGACUGCAUCGCUUGAAUCAUGGAGAGGUCAGUGGAAUUCCGAGUGUAGAGGUGAAAUUCGUAGAUAUUCGGAAGAACACCAGUGGCGAAGGCGACUGACUGGACAUGUAUUGACGCUGAGGUGGCGAAAGCGGUGGGGAGCAAACAGG